AAAUGUAUCACAUGUGGUGGUACAUGUAGAUGCAGGGAAUCAAGCUGUUGGAGAUGCAAAUGCGGAGAGUCACCCUGUUUGUGUGGAGAAUCAACCUGCUGGAGAUACAGCUUUUGAAGUGGCGAUAAACAUGAAUGUGGAUCAAACUGUUGGUGCUGCAGACGCAACUUGUGAAGUGGCGGUAAAAAUACCUGUGGAUCAGGUUAAUUUGGAAAUGGUGGCACAGAAUAAUGCGGAGAGUGAACCUGUCGGUGUGGAGAAUGCAGGAACAAAUUUGGAAGCGGUGGGACAGACGAAUAUGAAGUAUCAGGCUGCUGCAGAUUCAUCGGUAGCAGCAGUGCAGAGCAAUUUGGAGAAUCAACCUGCUGCAUAUGCAAAAUUGGAUGUGGUGAUGCUCAUCAAUAGCGAAAAUCAACCUGUUGAACAUGCAGAUGUGGAAGGGGUGGUAAGGAAGGAUGCGGAGGAGCAACAUUUUGCAGAUGCAAAAUUGGAUGUGGUGAUGGAGAACAAACCUGCCAAUGCAAAUUUGGUACAUGUACCAUGAUACAAUUAAGAGUAAGUAUAUAUAGUGGUGGUUGAACUUUAUCUAUUUCUUCAUUUUGUUGGCCGGAAUUUUAAAUUUGUAAUAGAAUGGUUAUAUAUUGUUUUAAUUCGUACAAAAGAUAGCUAAGGGCCACUAUUUUGAGAUAAAAAGUUUAGUUAGCUAGGUUUUCGAAACAUAUAUAAAAAUAAUGUCUCGCCAUCCAUUUUGAAAUUCUAGACACUAAAGUGUAAAAAUGGAUAAAGUUCAAUCAUCAUUUUACAUUUUACAUUUACUCUAGGAUUAAUAAUAAAUUGGUUUCUUGUUGUGUGUAUUUACAUCUCUGUAGGUAUUAGAAAAUAUGGAAUGUAUAUAUUAAUAANUACUAUUGGACACCUGAUGACCACCAAUGUAUAAUUGCAUUCGCAACAAAUGUGGAUAAUUCAUCUGUUGCAGAAAAUGUAUCACAUGUGGUGGUACAUGUAGAUGCAGGGAAUCAAGCUGUUGGAGAUGCAAAUGCGGAGAGUCACCCUGUUUGUGUGGAGAAUCAACCUGCUGGAGAUACAGCUUUUGAAGUGGCGAUAAACAUGAAUGUGGAUCAAACUGUUGGUGCUGCAGACGCAACUUGUGAAGUGGCGGUAAAAAUACCUGUGGAUCAGGUUAAUUUGGAAAUGGUGGCACAGAAUAAUGCGGAGAGUGAACCUGUCGGUGUGGAGAAUGCAGGAACAAAUUUGGAAGCGGUGG
rnacentral:lncRNA from 1 species